rnacentral:rRNA from 1 species
AGUGGGGAAUAUUGGACAAUGGGCGCAAGCCUGAUCCAGCCACGCCGCGUGAGUGAUGAAGGCCUUCGGGUCGUAAAGCUCUGUGGGGAGGGACGAAUGUCCGGAUGUAGAAUCCGGGGUGACGGUACCUCCUUAGCAAGCACCGGCUAACUUCGUGCCAGCAGCCGCGGUAAUACGAAGGGUGCAAACGUUGCUCGGAAUCAUUGGGCGUAAAGCGCACGUAGGCGGCUUCGCAAGUCGGAUGUGAAAUACCUAGGCUCAACCAAGGACGUGCAUCCGAAACUGCGAGGCUUGAGUACAGAAGAGGAUCGCGGAAUUCCCGGUGUAGAGGUGAAAUUCGUAGAUAUCGGGAGGAACACCAGUGGCGAAGGCGGCGAUCUGGGCUGAUACUGACGCUGAGGUGCGAAAGCGUGGGGAGCAAA